CCUACGGGUGGCUGCAGUGGGGAAUAUUGGACAAUGGGCGAAAGCCUGAUCCAGCCAUGCCGCGUGUGUGAAGAAGGCCUUCGGGUUGUAAAGCACUUUCAGUGGGGAAGAAAGCCUUGGGGCUAAUACCCUCGAGGAAGGACAUCACCCACAGAAGAAGCACCGGCUAACUCCGUGCCAGCAGCCGCGGUAAUACGGAGGGUGCGAGCGUUAAUCGGAAUUACUGGGCGUAAAGCGCGCGUAGGCGGUCUGAUAAGCCGGGUGUGAAAGCCCCGGGCUCAACCUGGGAACGGCAUCCGGAACUGUCAGGCUAGAGUGCAGGAGAGGAAGGUAGAAUUCCCGGUGUAGCGGUGAAAUGCGUAGAGAUCGGGAGGAAUACCAGUGGCGAAGGCGGCCUUCUGGACUGACACUGACGCUGAGGUGCGAAAGCGUGGGUAGCAAACAGGAUUAGAUACCCUUGUAGUC
rnacentral:rRNA from 1 species